rnacentral:rRNA from 1 species
UACGUAGGGUGCGAGCGUUAAUCGGAUUACUGGGCGUAAAGCGUGCGCAGGCGGUUAUGCAAGACAGAUGUGAAAUCCCCGGGCUCAACCUGGGAACUGCAUUUGUGACUGCAUAGCUAGAGUGCGGCAGAGGGGGAUGGAAUUCCGCGUGUAGCAGUGAAAUGCGUAGAUAUGCGGAGGAACACCGAUGGCGAAGGCGGCCAUCUGGCCUGUGAAUUGACGCUGGAGGCGCGAAAGCGUGGGGAGCAAACAGG